rnacentral:misc_RNA from 1 species
ACACGAACUUAUCCAAUAUCAAAACCAAACGUGAACCAAACCCAUCCUCUAAUAUACAAGCAAUUGUAUAUUAGAGUACAUAUAUAUUAACCUUUUAACCCCUUUUUGAUAUCUUUGCAUAUUUAAACGUGCAAAUUUUUAAAACAGUAUUAAUCUUCACGGAUUGGUACGACAUAUGAAACUAAAUACUAUUAGUAAGAA